CACAGUCUAUGACACACACAUGGAACCUGAUGCUGCGUUCACACCGGACGCGAAUAGCGCGUCAAAUUCGCGCCUACCGCGUCUAGUUAUACGCUUGACCACUUUGAAUCCAUUCGCGCGUCAAGAGCGAAAUUGACGCGCGUAAAAAACAAAAGUUUGAAGCGAAAUUUACGCGCCCAGAGGCGAAAUCCGUUGACGGCCAUCUUUUUACAAGAUGGCUGAUGUUGAUCGAGCAUUCGUGGAGAGAGUCACCGCUCUGUAUUUGCUCUGGAGAGCAGAACAGCGGCGUAUGGGUCGUCGUCGCCGUACUUGGGUCCACCAGACCCUCCGGAGGCGUUCCCAGUUCGGCGAAUUUCAUCAUUUGCUCCAGGAGCUGCGCCUGGAUGACGGCCGCUUUCAGCGGUACUUCCGCUUGUCCCGCGCCCAGUUUGAUGACCUGUUGUCCCGCAUCGGAGCGAGGAUACAGGCGCUCUAUCCCAGCUGCGGAGCGCCUGUCCAUCUGUCUUCGGUUUCUUGCCACAGGGGACUCAUUCAGGACCAUAGCGUCCAGCUUCAGGGUUGGUGUCUCAACAGUGAGCCAGAUCGUCCACCAGGUUGUGACUGCAAUCUGGGACUGUCUUGUGGAGGAGUACAUGGCUGUGCCCACCACUGAUGACUGGCGUGUCUUCAACUACCGCCUCUCCAGAGCCAGGCGCGGGACAUGCUGGAGAGGAGCCACUGCCAGGUCUGGGUCGGGUUGCGGCCAACAACUCCUCCAGAGAGGCACUCCGGGUGAGGGAUGUCUUCAUGGCACACUUCUCGGCGGAGGGAGCAGUACCAUGGCAGCCGACGGAGUAGCGUUUGAAGUCCUCCUCAUGACUUCCCCACAACGGCUCUUUUAAGAGCCACCCACAAACCUAUAAAGAGCUAAACUAUCUAAAAAUAGUCCAUUAUUAUUAUAUAUAUAUUUUUUUUUUCCCAGGUUGUCAGCCCCAGUUCCAGGAUGUCAGGUCCACAACAUGCACAUUUAUUAAGUUGAGACUUUUUAAAAACGUCAGGUUUUCCAUGGAUGGACCACAAAGUACAGUUAAAUCUGCCGCCAAGGCCCUGAUAAAUAUAAUUUCUAGAAAUUAAACAGGCCAGGCCACAGAGCAGACGACAGAGCAGGAUACAGGGCAGGAUACUAGGACUCCUCCAACACCCAGUGAGAGGGUCCAGCAUGAGUUAAGAAGACAGUUUCCCGGUUUCUAUCGUGGGGCACAAAGAAACAAGAAAAGGCCUGAAAUAUUUCUGUAGUAUCAGAGAAACUCAGUAGGAUUUUGAAGAAACACAACAUCCCUGUGUUUUUUAAACCCAAGAACACACUAAGACAGAUGAUGGUCCACCCAAAGACCGCACAGUUGGGGAAACUAAACCACCACUUCACAGACGCAUGGCUCAACACAGAAGGGCCAACUCCUCAGGUCAAGACUCAACAGUUUACCAACAUCUGAAGGACAGAGGACACUCGUUUGAGGACCACCAGGUGCACAUUUUAGACAGAGAAGAUGGAUGGUUUGAAAGAGGUGUCAAGGAAGCCAUCUACACCCGGGUUGAGAAGCCGUCGCUUUAACAGAAGAGGGGGUCUACGCCACCACUUAUCCCCCACUUACAAUGUGGUCCUUUCAUCACUUCCCAGGAAACUGAACAAACGUAACCUAUUGGCCUCAGGUGUUUCUGGCUCUGGAGCUGUGGAGACUGGAUCUGUGGUUGCGAGUCACCUGCUGCCCCCAUGUUCCUGUGCGACACCCUCUGUUACGAUUAUUGUUACUAGUCCUAUUACUAUUAUCAUUGCAACUAUUAUCAUAAACAUUGCUAUGAAUAUCUGUACCAUUAUUCGCUCUAUGGCAACAUUGCCGCUAUUGUCUGUACCUCUGUGUGUAUAUUUUGUAGGCUGCUCCUCCCUCUCUCCCCCUCCCUCUCUCUGGCUCUCUCUCUUUCUCUCGCCCCCAACCGGUUGAGGCAGAUGGCCGCCCACCCUGAGCCAUGGUUCUGCUCAAGGUUUCUGCCUCUUAAAAGGAACCUUGCCUCUGAAUAUCUGUACCAUUAUUCGCUCUAUGGCAACAUUGCCGCUACUGUCUGUACCUCUGUGUGUAUAUUUUGUAGGCUGCUCCUCCCUCCCUCUCUCCCCCUCCCUCUCUCCCUCUCUCUGGCUCUCUCUCUUUCUCUCGCCCCCAACCGGUUGAGGCAGAUGGCCGCCCACCCUGAGCCAUGGUUCUGCUCAAGGUUUCUGCCUCUUAAAAGGAACCUUGCCUCUGAAUAUCUGUACCAUUAUUCGCUCUAUGGCAACAUUGCCGCUACUGUCUGUACCUCUGUGUGUAUAUUUUGUAGGCUGCUCCUCCCUCUCUCCCCCUCCCUCUCUCCCUCCCUCCUCUCUCCCUCCCCCCACGUACGCCUUACAAAUGUCUUUUUGCAGAUCGCAGCAUGGACAAAAAUCCACAAAUGUGUAAAAAGGAGUUGCAAAUGUCACGUGACCUGGAGGCAAUCCACAAAUGCGUAAAAACAGUUUUGUGUGUAGAAAUGGAUCCACAAAAGCGUAAAUCACACUUUGUAUGUGAAAUAAAAAGAUAUUUGUACAGAUUAAAUUGUGUGUAUUUACAAAUCACACAUUAUUUUUGUGAAUAUGAUUUUACACAACACAAAUGUAAAAAUACAUGUUUUAGGUUGUGAGAUAUUUGUGUAUAUGUUUAUUUACAGAUCUCUGCAGUACACAUUGGAUAAAAUUCCACAAAUGUGUAAAAAGGAACUUACAAAUGUAACGUGACCCACAAAUUCACAGGAAGGAAUUUGCAAAUGUGUAAAAACAGUUUUGUGUGUAGAAAUGGAUCCACAAAUGCGUAAAUCACAAUUUGUAUGUGAAAUAAAAAGAUAUUU